UCAGGAUGAACGCUAGCUACAGGCUUAACACAUGCAAGUCGAGGGGCAGCAUUGGAGUAGCAAUACUCAGAUGGCGACCGGCGCACGGGUGAGUAACACGUAUCCAACCUGCCGCUUACUCGGGGAUAGCCUUUCGAAAGAAAGAUUAAUACCCGAUGGUAUAAAGAGUUCGCAUGUUCUCUUUAUUAAAGAAUUUCGGUAAGCGAUGGGGAUGCGUUCCAUUAGAUAGUUGGCGGGGUAACGGCCCACCAAGUCUACGAUGGAUAGGGGUUCUGAGAGGAAGGUCCCCCCACAUUGGAACUGAGACACGGUCCAAACUCCUACGGGAGGCAGCAGUGAGGAAUAUUGGUCAAUGGACGAGAGUCUGAACCAGCCAAGUAGCGUGAAGGAUGACUGCCCUAUGGGUUGUAAACUUCUUUUAUAAGGGAAUAAAGUGAGGGACGUGUCCCUUUUUGUAUGUACCUUAUGAAUAAGGAUCGGCUAACUCCGUGCCAGCAGCAGC
rnacentral:rRNA from 1 species